GUUGUGCAGGUUGGAGUCCCCUUACCGACGCCCACACAGCCACAUGCCACGCUCCGCCAUGCAGACACCCAGGCACAGGARGAGCCAACGGAACAUCUGAUCAUGAAGUUUGCCAGGCUGUGGAUUCUCCAGCCCUGCAAUCGCAYAAAAUCAUUCUCCAUCCAUAUUAAAGCUCAGCCCUCUCCAUCACUGGUGCCCCUGACAACACAGGAAAUGGAUCCCACCCGACGACAGACUCAGCCUCCACACUGUUUAUCACCACAAUUAUKCCCCAUUCAUUCACAGGCUUAUAAGGGGACAUACUGGGAUCUGCUAACGCACUGGAGGAAAGAAUGGAGGGAAGAAAUGGAAGAAGAGCUCAAUAAACAAAUUAAUAUGUAUUCAUGGAGUUGAUGUACUGACAGACUGUACGAUAUACAGUAUCUGUGACAGAGAAACUGAGUCUUCAUGUUGUAUCAAAGUUUAAUGACCAUAAAACACUUCCAAGAGUCAGUAAAGUCAGUCUUUAAAGUCUAACACUGUAAUGAAGGCAUCAAUGUCAAAAAUGUGUUUAUUUUAAUAACAAUAACCCAUAUGCAUUUAACUUCCAUUGUCCUUCAAGAAUGGCUGAAUAUUUUCUUGUGGUGUACCUGGGUAGGACUUUGUGGUAGUGGCACACUGUACAUUAUCCCGCAUGAGUUAGUGAAACAAAAGUCUGUUGCGAUUCCAACUCAUGCAUUGUGUUAUGGCAGAAACAUGUCAGAUUCAUUAUCACAACGGUUAAUAUGGUGUCAUAUCUGCCCUUCCGUUUAUUGACGACCCAAUAAACGGUAUCAUAAAUAACA